rnacentral:rRNA from 1 species
GAUGAACGCUGGCGGCGUGCCUAAUACAUGCAAGUCGAGCGAACAGACGAGGAGCUUGCUCCUCUGACGUUAGCGGCGGACGGGUGAGUAACACGUGGAUAACCUACCUAUAAGACUGGGAUAACUUCGGGAAACCGGAGCUAAUACCGGAUAAUAUAUUGAACCGCAUGGUUCAAUAGUGAAAGACGGUUUUGCUGUCACUUAUAGAUGGAUCCGCGCCGCAUUAGCUAGUUGGUAAGGUAACGGCUUACCAAGGCGACGAUGCGUAGCCGACCUGAGAGGGGGAUCGGCCACACUGGAACUGAGACACGGUGCAGAAGCCUACGGGAGGCAGCAGUAGGGAAUCUUCCGCAAUGGGCGAAAGCCUGCCGGAGCAACGCCGCGUGAGUGAUGAAGGUCUUCGGAUCGUAAAACUCUGUUAUUAGGGAAGAACAAAUGUGUAAGUAACUAUGCACGUCUUGACGGUACCUAAUCAGAAAGCCACGGCUAACUACGUG